rnacentral:rRNA from 1 species
CAUGCGGAUUAAUUCGAUGCAACGCGAAGAACCUUACCAGGGCUUGACAUGCACCGGAAACCGCCAGAGAUGGUGGCUCCGUAAGGCUGGUGCACAGGUGGUGCAUGGUUGUCGUCAGCUCGUGUCGUGAGAUGUUGGGUUAAGUCCCGCAACGAGCGCAACCCUCGUCCCAUGUUGCCAGCGGGUGAUGCCGGGGACUCAUGGGAGACUGCCGGGGUCAACUCGGAGGAAGGUGGGGAUGAUGUCAAAUCAUCAUGCCCCUUAUGUCUUGGGCUUCACGCAUGCUACAAUGGCCGGUACAAAGGGCUGCGAUACCGCGAGGUGGAGCGAAUCCCAGAAAGCCGGUCUCAGUUCGGAUUGGGGUCUGCAACUCGAGCCCAUGAAGUUGGAAUCGCUAGUAAUCGUGGAUCAGCAUGCCACGGUGAAUACGUUCCCGGGCCUU